AAUAUAAGGCCUUAGUAGACGUGGACUGUCACUUCAGAAGAAAAUUUUGCAAUUUAACAAGUGUGAACUCAACUGAAUUGGAAGACGCUGAAAUACUUCAAAACAUUGGAAGCGGAUAGAAAGGGGGAGUUUAUAACUUUUCAUCACAAAUCUUUUCAUUUUGGACACAGAGGAAAUGGACAUGGGUGCCAAACGGAUGCUUUUAAUUUUCCUGAUUCUAGCAGCUGUGAGGGAAUUGGAUACACAACAAACUACACUUGCACCUACCACUACAACACCUGCACCUAUCAAAACUACACCUGAACCUACUACAACUACACCUGAACCUACUACGACAACCCCUGAACCUACUACAACUACACCUGAACCAACUACUACAACCCCUGAACCUACUACAACUACACCUGCACCUACCACGACCACACCGGAACCAACUACUACAACACCUGAACCUACUACAACUACACCUGAACCUACCACGACAACCCCUGAACCAACUACCACU